UACAUGGGGUGCAAACGUUGCUCGGAAUUAUUGGGCGUAAAGCGCACGUAGGCGGUUCGUUAAGUCGGAUGUGAAAGCCCUCGGCUCAACUGAGGAAGUGCACCCGAAACUGGCGAGCUUGAGUACGAAAGAGGAUCGCGGAAUUCCCGGUGUAGAGGUGAAAUUCGUAGAUAUCGGGAGGAACACCGGUGGCGAAGGCGGCUCACUGGCUCGUAACUGACGCUCAUGCACGACAGCGUGGGAUCAAACAGG
rnacentral:rRNA from 1 species